rnacentral:miRNA from 1 species
UAUAUAUAUAUAUAUUCCAUUGUGUGUGUGUGUGAGUGUGUGUGUGUGUGUGUAUAUAUAUAUACACACACACACACACACACACACAAUGGAAUGUUACUC